rnacentral:rRNA from 1 species
UACGUAGGGGGCUAGCGUUGUCCGGAAUCAUUGGGCGUAAAGAGCGUGUAGGCGGCCCGGUAAGUCCGCUGUGAAAGUCGGGGGGCUCAACCCUCGAAUGCCGGUGGAUACUGUCGGGCUAGAGUGCGGAAGAGGCGAGUGGAAUUCCUGGUGUAGCGGUGAAAUGUGUUGAGAUCGGAAGGAACACCAGAGGCGAAAGGCGGCAUGCUGGGGCUAUUCUGACGCUGAGGCACGAAAGCCAGGGGAGCGAACGGG